UACGUAGGGACCGAGCGUUGUCCGGAAUCAUUGGGCGUAAAGAGCGUGUAGGCGGCCACUUAAGUCCUGCGUGAAAUCUUGCGGCUCAACCGCAAGCGGUCGUGGGAAACUGGGUGGCUAGAGUGCGGGAGAGGAAAGUGGAAUUCCUGGUGUAGCGGUGAAAUGCGCAGAUAUCAGGAGGAACACCGAUGGCGAAGGCAGGUCUCUGGGCAUUAACUGACGCUGAGGAGCGAAAGCAUGGGGAGCGAACAGG
rnacentral:rRNA from 1 species